CAAGGCUAAAGACUUGCAGAAGGGGAUCAUGUGUGCUGACUGGUAACAACUCCGUGGUGGUGAGAGGAGGGGACAGGAAGCCCAUUCCCAAUAUACCCUUCAAGGGCAUCUUCCCAAUGUCCUGAGGCAGGUUCUGGACUGGGUUGGCGGCCUGGGCUAUCGCUGGCCUCGGAUUGCUCAAGCAAUUGAUCAGUUUGUUUAUACGGUGGAUUACAUUGAUGGAUUUUCAUAUACUGAACCAUCCCUGCAUCCCUGGGAUGAAGCUGACUUGAUCAUGGUGGAUGAUGUUUUUGAUGUGUUUUUGGAUUCAAUUUGUUUGAGUUUUAAUUUAUUGACCAACUGUAGUCGACACACUCAGUGACUGUGCAUUGUUGGCCAAGCAUCUCCUUCUUUUUAUUCUUCAGUGUCCCUGCUCCAUUACAUGGGCGAUGCUGCCAUUGGCGAUACCGAUGUGAGGAAAAGCUUACGGCUGAACUAAAAGAAAUAUUUAACAAAGCAAGCCAUGUGAAAUGUCAAGUAUUUCUGGAUGGCAGCAGAAUAUGACCCCACUUUAUAUUCAGUGCUUGUAUGAUGCAAGUUAUGUUUUAGCUCAACGUCGGCCAAUUUGUUUAGUUUACCGCUUGGCAUCAUGUGCUGAAAACAUGUAGUCCUGUCAAAACAAACAGAGAGAUAACCCCCCCCUCGCCCAAAGAAUAUUGUAGCUCUGAACAUUUAGAAACAUGCUAUUUGCCACAGUCCAAUCACCCAUCAGCUGUAUUUCUUUUAAGACUGAUGUUUUUGACCCACUGGGAAGAGUCCAUUAUACUUCUAGUCAUCAAUGAAUAACUUGCUAUUUGUCACAUAGGGUCAUGGCAUCUGUUUCAAGACUUUAACUCAAGGAAUUCUUCAGCCCCAGAUUUGCCUUACAGGGAAGCUCCCAGUGCAGGGAGGUUGCUGCUCACAAUGUCAUGGCACUACAACAUUUGGCAGAAACUGCAGGAGCUGUGACAGGCUGUCCAAUGCAGACCGCCCAUGGUCUCAUGCUGACGAGAGAGAAGAGGGAAUGCAUGCUCUCCAAAUCCCAGUGUGAUGCACCAGCGUCAGUCACACUGCAGUGGUGAACACAGUUUCAGAGAGAGAGCCUAGAAGAGUUUCUCAUCUUAAAUCCAUCCAGUGGGGUACGCAUCACCUGGUCUCAGCUGCUCUGUACUGAGCAGGCAAGGUGGAGCCACGGCAGAGUCCUGUUUAUAGCAGUUAUUUAGAGAAGUCUGAGAGGUAGAGAGAGAGAGAGAGAGAGAGAGAGAGAGAGAGAGAGAGAGAGAGAGAGAGAGGAAGAAGCACUGGCUGUAGGUGAUGCCAUGCCAUCAUCUCAGAAUUCAGUUUCACUCCCACUUGAUCUUUGUAGAGCAUCCAGUGUACACAACAGUCUGCGCCUGUACUGGGAGAGAGGGGUGUAAAGAGGAACACAGAAAGGCACCAUCCUCAUUGGAACAGAUUUUAUAACUCAGCAAGACUUUGCACGAAUUCAACACUGAAGAGACUGUGCAGCGUUAAUACAAAAAUAUGAACUUUUAUUAAAUAGCUCUUGUAUUGGAGGGAGCUCCUCAUUGUUGCCCUCAGUUUCAAUGCUUCAUUGUAAGGAAUCAUGAAAUUCAGCAAAGCAGUUAUAAUCAUGGUUGUGAUUUAAUUGCAUAUUGUGCUGGCUGGAUUUAUGUCACCCUGACACAAGUUAGAGUCAUUUCAGAGGAAGAAACCCAGUUGAGAAAUGCCUCCACCAGAAUGGCCCAUGGGCAAGGCUGUGGUGCAUUAUCUUGGUGAUUGAUGUGGGAAGAGCCAGCUCCCUGUGGGUGGUAUCACCCCGGGGCUCGUGCUCCUGGAUGCUCUAAGAGAGCAGAUUUAGCAAGCCAUGAAGAGCAAGACAGUAAGCAGCAUGCUUAUGGCCUCUGUGUCAGCUCCUGCCUCCAGGUACCUGACCUGUCUGAGUUCCUGCCCUGACUUCUCUCAGCAAUUGAGCUUGACCUGGGAGCUGUAAGCUGAAAUAAACCUUUUACUCUUCAAGUCAGUUAUGGUCCUGAUAUUUCACCACAGCAAUAAGAACAUUAACUAAGACAUUCUUAUUAAAAAUGCUUUAUUAUAGCAGAUAUUAAGACUCAUAACCAAACCAUCAGCAGAGUGCAGGGAAUCAUAUGAAAGAAGGGAGAGUUAGCAAGACCUGGAGAGGAUAGAAGCUCCACAAGGACCAAAUAUAUCUGGGCACAGGGGUCUUUCAUGAGACUGUAUUUCCAACCAAGGACCAUGUAUGGAUAUAACCUAGAACCCCUGCCCAGAUAUA